GAAAAUGAAGGCGGUGGCGGUUUCCUGGCGAAUUCGAGAAAUAGGCCGUAGUGAUAGCGUGCACGCGCGCGCACAUAUUCUGCUGCCAACGGUAGUAACAGCGAGCAGCAGCAGCAGCAGCAGCAGCUAGCUAGCAAGCAAGCAAGCAAGCAAGCAAGCAAGCAGGAGGUAGGUCGAUCCAAUUGGGGUUCGGAUAGCAGCUCAGCAGUGUGGUGAUGCCCUCUCCCCUUUGGAGUUUCCGUGGCGAUCAAUACCUCGGUGCCAAAGCCGGGAGCCAGACUCUGCCGAUUUCCACGAGGUUUUUCUCUCGUUUCUUCCGCAUAACAAACAAAUAGAAUGAGAGGAAGAGAAAGAAGAAGAAGAAGAACAACAACAACAACACCGAAGAUGGAUCAAAUAACAAUUAUUAUAAUCCCAAUUGAUCUGUAAUUCCAAUCGUAACUAUAAAAUUACAUGGAUCCUAAUCGAAAAUGAAUAUACGACUAUCUAUAUCAUUAAUAAAUGAAUAUAGUUUUGUUCGCUAAUUUUCAUCGGACAAAGCCAAACAAAGUAUACAAACUCGAACAAUAUAAUUGACGAAUCAGUGUUUCUCGUGCGUGCGUGUGUUCAUGAUCAUCGUGUAACAAUAAUAACAACAAGAGAACAGUGUAAGAAGACAAAAAGAAAAUCUAACACGCUACCCUAGGUUUCCGUCGAUACACAUUGCUUUUUCCCCUAAGCAACCGGAUCCACGCGUCUCUUUCUUGCGCACGCGUUGCGACAGCGCGUAAUUACGUCACGCGAUCGAACCUUCGUCGCUACGCGCGUUUACAUGUUUGAAAUCCCGCUGCUAACAUAAGAGAAGAGAAGAGAAGAAAAGAGAAGAGAAGAGAAGAGAAGAGAAGAGAGGAGAAGGAAGAUGGAGGAAUACUUACCGCACUCCAUAUCAUAGACGACGCAACCACACGCCUAACAAAGUCUCACCUCUCGCCUACUCGUUUUUAAAAGCAUCUGGCACUUCGAAUAGGCCAUCGACGUGAUUUCGAAAAUAGUAGUACGCCGCAUAAAUUAACGUCCGAAUAGGUAGGUAACCGUCAGAGGUUGCUUUGAUAUUUAAUAUCCAGCAUGAUAUAGAAGUAUAGAUAGUCACAAAUGAAAGAGAUUUUAUUGACUACAGAAGACAAAUAUAUAUUUUCUUUAAUCUAUAGAGAAAGAGAGAGAGAGAACUCGAUCGAUUUAGAACCGAGUCCAAAUUACCGUUUAGAAGUUGGAAGAUCCAACAUGGACUCUGUUAGAAAUUUAUGAAAGGCAAGAAAACUCGCGUAUAGAAUAUUCGUGAUACUUAGAAAUGCGCUUAGGAACAUACAUAUUUACAAUUAAAUAGAAGAUUUUUUAGAGAA
rnacentral:lncRNA from 1 species